AAAGUACGUAGAACAUGGUGCAUCCGGGAGGAUUCGAACCUCCGACCGCUCGGUUCGUAGCCGAGUACUCUA
rnacentral:tRNA from 1 species